GAUGAACGCUGGCGGCGUGCCUAAUACAUGCAAGUCGAGCGAACAGACGAGGAGCUUGCUCCUCUGACGUUAGCGGCGGACGGGUGAGUAAUACGUGGAUAACCUACCUAUAAGACUGGGAUAACUUCGGGAAACCGGAGCUAAUACCGGAUAAUAUAUUGAACCGCAUGGUUCAAUAGUGAAAGACGGUUUUGCUGUCACUUAUAGAUGGAUCCGCGCCGCAUUAGCUAGUUGGUAAGGUAACGGCUUACCAAGGCAACGAUGCGUAGCCGACCUGAGAGGGUGAUCGGCCACACUGGAACUGAGACACGGUCCAGACUCCUACGGGAGGCAGCAGUAGGGAAUCUUCCGCAAUGGGCGAAAGCCUGACGGAGCAACGCCGCGUGAAUGAUGAAGGUCUUCGGAUCGUAAAACUCUGUUAUUAGGGAAGAACAAAUGUGUAAGUAACUAUGCACGUCUUGACGGUACCUAAUCAGAAAGCCACGGCUAACUACGUG
rnacentral:rRNA from 1 species